AUGCAUGACCUUGUGCUUUCUGGACAUAUAUUAGAGAAGGUCUAGCCCAGGUCCGCAUGAGUUAAUUUGUUUUAGGUCUAUUAAUGGCAACCCUACUUCAUAGGAAGGAAGUAGAGAAGCCAAAAGCAGUAUGUAAAUGUAUAUAAAUGAAUGUAUGUGAAAUUUACAAUUCCAGGCCAGUGUCUUCUCCUCCAACUUCCGAUCCAGCACCUGUUGUGAAUGCCACAUCAGCAUUUCUCUCGAAACCUAAUUAUAAAAUACAAUUAGUCCUUAUUAUUUAUUAAUGAGUGAUAAUGUUUAUUUUUUUUAUUUAGGACCGAGGAUGUAUACGAUCAAGUAAUUUGGAAGGUACAAUUCAACAUCUUCUUGAUAUGGGAGGAGGAAACUGGGAUAGGGAUACAGUUGUUCGUGCUCUUCAUGUUGCUUUCAAUAAUCCAGAAAAAGUUGUUAAAUAUCUUUAUUUUAACUCCCGCCAGCUGCCGGAGUUUCACCACUGCCAGGUCUGCAGGCUGCCCAGCCCCCGCCAUCUACAGUUGUUCCUCCAAGUGAACCAAAUUCAAACCCUUUGGAUCUCUUCCCUCAGGGACUUCCUGACAUGGGCACAAAUGCUCCUGUUGGUGCUGCUGGCAACUUGGAUUUUCUACGUAAUAGUCCACAG